rnacentral:rRNA from 1 species
AACGAACGCUGGCGGCAUGCCUAACACAUGCAAGUCGAACGAGACCUUCGGGUCUGGUGGCGCACGGGUGCGUAACGCGUGGGAACCUGCCCUUAGGCUCGGAAUAACUCCCCGACAGGGGUGCUAAUACCGGGUAAUGUCCUCGGACCAAAGAUUUAUCGCCUUUGUAUGGGCCCGCGUUGGAUUAGCCAGUUGGUAGGGUAAAAGCCUACCAAGGCGACGAUCCCUAGCUGGUCUGAGAGGAUGAUCAGCCACACUGGGACUGAGACACGGCCCAGACUCCUACGGGAGGGAGCAGUGGGGAAUAUUGGACAAUGGGCGAAAGCAUGAUCCAGCAAUGCCGCGUGAGUGAUGAAGGCCUUAGGGUUGUAAAGCUCUUUUACCCGGGAUGAUAAUGACAGUACCGGGAGAAUAAGCUCCGGCUAACUCCGUG